GGGCCGUUAGCUCAGUUGGUAGAGCAUCGGACUUUUAAUCCGGUUGUCGUGCGUUCGAUUCGCACACGGCCCA
rfam:Beggiatoa sp. 4572_84 ex4572_84_scaffold_1102, whole genome shotgun sequence.